rnacentral:tRNA from 1 species
AGUUCUGUAGUGUAAAAGCACAUAAAAUUGCAAAUUUUAUAGAGUAAAUUAAGUUUUUCCGGGGCUU